rnacentral:tRNA from 1 species
CCCCGGCGGGGCGGCCGUUGCUGCCGCUGCCGUCGCCCUGGUCGACGGAGGCGGAGGUGGUCGGCUGGGCGCUGCCGCUCGGCCCGGCGAUCGGGGGC